rnacentral:rRNA from 1 species
UGGGGAAUAUUGGACAAUGGGCGAAAGCCUGAUCCAGCCAUGCCGCGUGAGUGAUGAAGGCCUUAGGGUUGUAAAACUCUUUCGCCGGGGAAGAUAAUGACGGUACCCGGAGAAGAAGCUCCGGCUAACUUCGUGCCAGCAGCCGCGGUAAUACGAAGGGAGCUAGCGUUGUUCGGAAUCACUGGGCGUAAAGCGCACGUAGGCGGAUAGUUAAGUCAGGGGUGAAAUCCCGGAGCUUAACUUCGGAACUGCCUUUGAUACUGGGUGUCUUGAGUGUGAGAGAGGUAUGUGGAACUCCGAGUGUAGAGGUGAAAUUCGUAGAUAUUCGGAAGAACACCAGUGGCGAAGGCGACAUACUGGCUCAUUACUGACGCUGAGGCUCGAAAGCGUGGGGAGCAAACAGGAUUAGAUACCCAAGUAGUCCCUGAGCGGGCUGGCAAGGCGCAU